UGAGUACGAGCUGCUACGGCAGCGAAGUGGGUGAUGUCAAGCUUCCAAGAAAAGCCCUAUACCCGUUAAGGCAUGAUGGCCUGUACCCGAAACCGACACAGGUGGGGUGGUAGAGAAUACCGAGGGGCGCGAGAUAACUCUCUCUAAGGAACUCGGCAAAAUGGCCCCGUAUCUUCGGGAGAAGGGGUGCCACCGCAAGGUGGUCGCAGUGAAGAGGCCCAGGCGACUGUUUACCAAAAACACAGGUCUCCGCUAAGUCGCAAGACGAUGUAUGGGGGCUGACGCCUGCCCAGUGCCGGAAGGUUAAGGAAGCUGGUCAGCGUAAGCGAAGCUAGCGACUGAAGCCCCGGUGAACGGCGGCCGUAACGAUAACGGUCCUAAGGUAGCGAAAUUCCUUGUCGGGUAAGUUCCGACCCGCACGAAAGGCGUAACGAUCUGGGCGCUGUCUCGGAGAGAGGCUCGGCGAAAUAGAAUUGUCUGUGAAGAUGCGGACUACGUGCACCCGGACAGAAAGACCCUAUGAAGCUUUACUGUAGCUUGGUAUUGUGCUCGGGCUCGGAAUGCGCAGGAUAGGUGGGAGGCUAUGAACCAUUGCUUGUGGGUGAUGGUGAGCCACUGGUGAGAUACCACUCUUUCCGAGCUAGAGUUCUAACAGCCACCCGUUAUCCGGGGGCUGGACAGUAUCAGGUGGGCAGUUUGACUGGGGCGGUCGCCUCCUAAAAGGUAACGGAGGCGCGCAAAGGUUUGCUCAGGCUGGUUGGAAAUCAGCCGACGAGUGUAAAAGCAGAAGCAAGCUUGACUGUGAGACCUACAAGUCGAACAGGGAGGAAACUCGGCUUUAGUGAUCCGACGGUUCUGCGUGGAAGGGCCGUCGCUCAACGGAUAAAAGUUACUCUAGGAUAACAGGCUGAUCUCCCCCAAGAGUUCACAUCGACGGGGAGGUUUGGCACCUCGAUGUCGGCUCAUCGCAACCUGGGGCUGAAGUCGGUCCCAAGGGUUGGGCUGUUCGCCCAUUAAAGCGGUACGCGAGCUGGGUUCAGAACGUCGUGAGACAGUUCGGUCCAUAUCCGGUGCAUGCGCAGGAAUAUUGAGAGGAUUUCUCCCUAGUACGAGAGGACCGGGAGGAACGCACCUCUGGUGUACCAGUUAUCGUGCCAACGGUAAACGCUGGGUAGCCAUGUGCGGAGAGGAUAACCGCUGAAAGCAUCUAAGUGGGAAGCCCACCUCAAGAUGAGUAUUCCCAUGGGGUAACCCAGUAAGGUCACGGGAAGAACACCCGUUGAUAGGCUCUACGUGGAAGCGCAGUAAUGUGUGAAGCGGAGGAGUACUAAUAGACCGAGGGCUUGAA
rnacentral:rRNA from 1 species